GAUGAACGCUGGCGGCGUGCUUAACACAUGCAAGUCGAACGGAAAGGCUCCUGCUUGCAGGGGUACUCGAGUGGCGAACGGGUGAGUAACACGUGGGUGAUCUGCCCUGCACUUCGGGAUAAGCCUGGGAAACUGGGUCUAAUACCGGAUAGGACGAUGGUUUGGAUGCCAUUGUGGAAAGUUUUUUCGGUGUGGGAUGAGCUCGCGGCCUAUCAGCUUGUUGGUGGGGUAAUGGCCUACCAAGGCGUCGACGGGUAGCCGGCCUGAGAGGGUGUACGGCCACAUUGGGACUGAGGUACGGCCCAGACUCCUACGGGGGGCAGAAGUGGGGAAUAUUGCACAAUGGGCGCAAGCCUGAUGCAGCGACGCCGCGUGGGGGAUGACGGCCUUCGGGUUGUAAACACCUUCCGCUAGGGACGAAGCGCAAGUGACGGUACCUGGAGAAGAAGCACCGGCUAACUACGUG
rnacentral:rRNA from 1 species